rnacentral:lncRNA from 1 species
UUAAUGUCUUUGGUGGUGGCGGUGGUGUUGUUGAUGUUUCUGGAGGAGGUGGUGGUGAUCGCUUCCUUGGUGGCGUUGGUUUUGUUGUUGGCGGGGGCGGUGGUGGCGGUAAUAUUGGUGCCUUUGGUGGUGGCGGUAGUAUUGGUGCCUUUGGUGGUGGUGCUGGUGGUGUUAAUGUCUUUGGUGGUGGCGGUGGUGUUGUUGAUGUUUCUGGAGGAGGUGGUGGUGUUUUUGGUGGGGAUGGUUUUGACCUUUUUGGGGGUGGUGGUGGUGGUGGUGGUAUUUCUAGUGGAGGUGGUGGUGGUGUUUCUAGAGGAGGUGGUGGUGGUGGUGAUGUUUUUGGUGGUGGUGGUGGUGGAGCCUUGUUCGGAGGUAGUGGUGUUGUUUUUGGUGGGGUUGGUGGUGGUGGUUGCAGAUGUUUUGGUGGUGAUGGUGGCACUAUUCUCACUGGGGUUGGUGGUAGUCGCCGAUGUAUAGGUGGAGGUGCUCGCCAACGUUUUGGUGGUGGAGGUGAUGGUCGCCAACGUUUUGGUGGUGGAGGUGAUGGUCGCCCACGUUUUAGUAGUGGCGGUGGUGGUCGGUGCUGAGUGCGAGGAGGAAGGUGAUGGGGUGGAGAAGAACAGCGAAAUGGGGUUCGACAGGCCUGCCCAUUAGUGUUUGGGAGCAAACUCAGACAAACAACUACGACCAACACACCAGUACCAGUGCUCAACAAAGCCAUAGAGGUUUCCUUCCCUUUUUUCCUGCCCAUAUUGGCCGCCACACACCUCUGGCUUAGACUCUUCUCCUCCAUCCUUCUCAACCCUUUUUAUAUAUAACUUCGCCGCUUAAUUUCCAGAGCUCUUACGUGUAAAGCAUCACAUUUACCUCCUCCUACUCUUAUAACAGCAUAGGACACUCUUCAAUACCAUCAACUUCAGAAUUUUACGAUUACUAAACUUGUACUAUCAACAACUGUGGGAUCAUUUUUAAGCAAUCGUAACAAGUCAUAUCUAGCAUUUUUAUGUACUUUUAAAUCAUAAGGC